rnacentral:rRNA from 1 species
CUACGUGCCAGCAGCCGCGGUAAUACGUAGGGCGCGAGCGUUGUCCGGAAUUAUUGGGCGUAAAGAGCUUGUAGGCGGUUUGUCGCGUCUGCUGUGAAAGGCCGGGGCUUAACCCCGUGUAUUGCAGUGGGUACGGGCAGACUAGAGUGCAGUAGGGGAGACUGGAACUCCUGGUGUAGCGGUGGAAUGCGCAGAUAUCAGGAGGAACACCGAUGGCGAAGGCAGGUCUCUGGGCUGUAACUGACGCUGAGAAGCGAAAGCAUGGGGAGCGAACAGGAUUAGAUACCCUGGUAGUCCAUGCCGUAAACGUUGGGCACUAGGUGUGGGGGACAUUCCACGUUUUCCGCGCCGUAGCUAACGCAUUAAGUGCCCCGCCUGGGGAGUACGGCCGCAAGGCUAAAACUCAAAGAAAUUGACGGGGGCCCGCACAAGCGGCGGAGCAUGCGGAUUAAUUCGAUGCAACGCGAAGAACCUUACCAAGGCU